GAUGAACGCUGGCGGCGUGCCUAAUACAUGCAAGUCGAGCGAACGGACGAGAAGCUUGCUUCUCUGAUGUUAGCGGCGGACGGGUGAGUAACACGUGGAUAACCUACCUAUAAGACUGGGAUAACUUCGGGAAACCGGAGCUAAUACCGGAUAAUAUUUUGAACCGCAUGGUUCAAAAGUGAAAGACGGUCUUGCUGUCACUUAUAGAUGGAUCCGCGCUGCAUUAGCUAGUUGGUAAGGUAACGGCUUACCAAGGCAACGAUGCAUAGCCGACCUGAGAGGGUGAUCGGCCACACUGGAACUGAGACACGGUCCAGACUCCUACGGGAGGCAGCAGUAGGGAAUCUUCCGCAAUGGGCGAAAGCCUGACGGAGCAACGCCGCGUGAGUGAUGAAGGUCUUCGGAUCGUAAAACUCUGUUAUUAGGGAAGAACAUAUGUGUAAGUAACUGUGCACAUCUUGACGGUACCUAAUCAGAAAGCCACGGCUAACUACGUGCCAGCAGCCGCGGUAAUACGUAGGUGGCAAGCGUUAUCCGGAAUUAUUGGGCGUAAAGCGCGCGUAGGCGGUUUUUUAAGUCUGAUGUGAAAGCCCACGGCUCAACCGUGGAGGGUCAUUGGAAACUGGAAAACUUGAGUGCAGAAGAGGAAAGUGGAAUUCCAUGUGUAGCGGUGAAAUGCGCAGAGAUAUGGAGGAACACCAGUGGCGAAGGCGACUUUCUGGUCUGUAACUGACGCUGAUGUGCGAAAGCGUGGGGAUCAAACAGGAUUAGAUACCCUGGUAGUCCACGCCGUAAACGAUGAGUGCUAAGUGUUAGGGGGUUUCCGCCCCUUAGUGCUGCAGCUAACGCAUUAAGCACUCCGCCUGGGGAGUACGACCGCAAGGUUGAAACUCAAAGGAAUUGACGGGGACCCGCACAAGCGGUGGAGCAUGUGGUUUAAUUCGAAGCAACGCGAAGAACCUUACCAAAUCUUGACAUCUUUUGACAACUCUAGAGAUAGAGCCUUCCCCUUCGGGGGACAAAGUGACAGGUGGUGCAUGGUUGUCGUCAGCUCGUGUCGUGAGAUGUUGGGUUAAGUCCCGCAACGAGCGCAACCCUUAAGCUUAGUUGCCAUCAUUAAGUUGGGCACUCUAAGUUGACUGCCGGUGACAAACCGGAGGAAGGUGGGGAUGACGUCAAAUCAUCAUGCCCCUUAUGAUUUGGGCUACACACGUGCUACAAUGGACAAUACAAAGGGCAGCGAAACCGCGAGGUCAAGCAAAUCCCAUAAAGUUGUUCUCAGUUCGGAUUGUAGUCUGCAACUCGACUACAUGAAGCUGGAAUCGCUAGUAAUCGUAGAUCAGCAUGCUACGGUGAAUACGUUCCCGGGUCU
rnacentral:rRNA from 1 species